rnacentral:misc_RNA from 1 species
GUGAAUCAUCAAAUUUUUGAACGCAAAUUGCACUCUCCUCGGAGAGUAUGCCUGUUUGAGGGUCAGCCCAUAAAAAAUCGACAUCGUUGCUGUUUCGCGGUGACGUUCGUCGGAAAUCGGGUCAUCUUCAAUCCUUUUGGUUUUAAGCGACUUAAAAUUUUCUUUUUGGUUUUUUGAACGUUUCUAAGAUUUAUUUCUUUACACGUUUAUGGGUAUCGAUUUUUUUUUGGAUUUUACUGUAAUACCGA